rnacentral:rRNA from 1 species
GGAAUAUUGGACAAUGGGCGAAAGCCUGAUCCAGCCAUGCCGCGUGUGUGAAGAAGGUCUUCGGAUUGUAAAGCACUUUAAGUUGGGAGGAAGGGUAGUAACUUAAUACGUUGCUAUUUUGACGUUACCGACAGAAUAAGCACCGGCUAACUCUGUGCCAGCAGCCGCGGUAAUACGGAGGGUGCAAGCGUUAAUCGGAAUUACUGGGCGUAAAGCGAGUGUAGGCGGCUACGUAAGUCGGUUGUGAAAUCCCCGGGCUUAACCUGGGAAUUGCGAUCGAUACUGCGUAGCUAGAGUCUGAUAGAGGGAAGUGGAAUUCCAGGUGUAGCGGUGAAAUGCGUAGAUAUCUGGAGGAACAUCAGUGGCGAAGGCGGCUUCCUGGAUCAAGACUGACGCUCAGGCUCGAAAGCGUGGGUAGCAAAC